UCUAACCACUGCUGCUGGUGGAGAGACCUGGCUGUCGCCUGCAUCUCACUUUCAGAAUGUGGCCCUGAUUAAGCUCCGCAGAUUCGGGCCACAACACCCCUGAGUUUACCGGUUUUGGUUUCUUCCUUGUGACCUUCGGCUCCAGGAUGCAGCACAGCUCCUCACUGCACUAUUUAUCAGAAUGUUGCUCUGCAUGCUUGAAAGUUUCCCCAAACAGAGGUACAUAAAAACAAACAGAGGCGAAACACAAAUCCCAUCAGCCCUGGAGGAAAAGGCCCUGAAGCUCUUCCAGUGCAGAGGCCACGCAGAGGACAGGCUCCUACCUGUGCACAUCAGCCACGCCUGGGGCGCCUCCUGGAGUCCAGGCUGCUGGCAAUGGAAUUCAUCAUGUUGCUGAUGUCACUGUAAGUUAAGUCGCAGCUGCCAGCUGAGCUAUGGGACAGUUUGAGGGAUGGCCAGAAGGUUUCUCCUGGAUGCCAUCUUCAGCAUACCUAGGAACCAGAGAAAAUGCAAUUCUUCGCAUGCCCAUCUCACUCCUGCAGCCUGGGGUCCCUCUUCAGUUUAUUUUUUUAUUUUUUUAUUUUUUUAUCAUAAGCACAUAGUCAGGCUCUGGGACAUCAUGGAACCCAGCAGCCUGCUGAAAGGUGAAGCACAAGUCUAAAGUCCUGUUAGUUAUGAAAUCCAGCUCUCCUGGAUUAGGCAAGGGGAAAACCACAUCUUUAAGAUACACUAGGGCAAGAAGUAAAGUAUGGAGAGCUGGCUCAACGAAAUUUUGUGUAUAAUAGGAGCCGUCCUAUGACUAAUUGUCACCUGUCUCAGAGACCUCAUGAUUAUUUCUGAGCUUUAACCAAUGAAUUAAUGUGGGUUCUACCUGGCUCUUCUAACGUCUUUGGAAUGGUUCCUCAGGGAACCACAGCUAUCCAUAGAGAUAACAACCUGAAUACAAGCCCAUCGCCCGAUCAGAUGCUGCUCUUACUUGCAUGACUUGGUUCUAUUCUUGCCCAGUCCCACUGGGAUAGCAGUGGUAGCUAAACAGCUAAGCAGAGUGACCUCAUUAGAUUCUCCUCUAGUAUAAAGUCACAUGUUAACUCAUUUUUGGACUCAUAGUCAGAAACUUGUAAUUUUUCCUCAUUUUGGUAUGCAGCUAUUGCACAGUGGGGGAAAUAUGAGUCAAAAGACUUGCUCUUAUAUUCCAUCUUCCCCCUCAUUGCCUGGGUGUCUUUGGACCAGUUAAUCUUUGAGCCUCAGUUAUCUAGAAAAUGGGGACACUGCUACUUUAUAUAUUUUUUUUUAGUGGGACCUAGAUAAGGUAAUAUAAAUAAAGGGGCUUUAUUUAUAUAUUGAAUGGCAUGAUGUUAGGAUUACCAAAAGGAAAUAGCUAUUCUACUUACAUUACAAUGUGGUUUGAGGAUCAAAUUCAAUAAAAUAUGUGAAGAGGGCUUUGAAAACUAGAAAGAGCUAAGCAAUGCAAAAUGCGUCGCUGCACUUGAAUGUAAUGGCUGGUGUCAUGUCAGCUGGAUUAACUGUGGUCACUAGUUCUCAUAUAUCCAUUUGCUAGAGUAGCUGAGUCCUCUGGACUACGAAAAAGGGCACAGAAGCUACAGAUACGAGAUCUGGUACUAUCUUUAUCACUACCUUUUUAUUGUGAGCACCUCAAUCAUUUUGAGAUAUUUGUCUCAUUUCUUUUACUUUGAAUAUGCAAAAACAACAGUCACCUCCUAAUAUGGCUGUUGGGAAAACACAACUGAAAUGGAUUCAGAAAAUAGCUUUUAAGGACAAAGUUAUGUGAAGGACAUAAAUUGUGCAUGAAGUCUUUCAGCAAUGAAUAGGCACAUCUCCACAUACCCCAGGAUCUUAAGCUGAUAAUGUAACAACAAGAACCUAUUGAAUCAGGACAAGGUGAUGGUUCUGCUCCUGUGGCAAUCUAGGUCUCAGAAUCUGGUAUGCAGGCAGGGUGUAGAGAGCAGAUUGCAUUUUCAGGAGAAAGGUUAAGCUUGAAUGUUUUGGACAGGAGGUGGUUAGAUGCAUUUUUAAAAAGUCCUUGAAUUUACCUGAUGAUUUUUGUGUCCUUGUGAUGGUUGUAGCCCAUUCCAGGAUAUGAAUAAAUUUAGCAACACAAAGGAGGUCAUUUAAAAAUCUUUCCCUCAGAUGCUCCACUUCCUCUUCCUUCUAGCUUUCUCCUCUUCUUCACUAAUUUGGCAACCUGCAAGGCUGCCCUUUUGAUCACUGGCAGUUUAGAAUAGUGAUAAGUGGUUUUGGAAAAUGUUAUUGAAACUUUUAUAGGAGAGUGGUGGAAAGAUGGAGAUUUCUAGAAAACCCUUAAUAGAAGAGAUCCAUUUUACUUAAUUAUUUAUUUAUUUUUAGUUUUAAAACAUUAUUUUAUUUUGAAUUAAUUUUAGACUUUAAGAAAUUGCAAAAAUACUAGAAAGUGUUACUUUAAUCCCUCACCCUGCUUCUGCUUAUGUUGACUGUCUCUCAUCAUCUUAAUAUGAUUAUCAAGAAUAGGAAAUUGAUGUUGGUACAAUAUUUUUAACUAAGCUACAGACUGCAUCUGAUAUUCACCAGUUUUCCUGCAGAUAUCAUUUUUCUGCCAUCCGAGUACUAACCAGACCCGACCCUGCUUAGCUUCCAAGAUCAGACAAGAUUGGGUGUGUUCAGGGUGGUAUGGCUAGAGACCCAAAUAUCAUUUUUCUGUCUCAGGAGCCUAUCCAGGACCCCACAUUGUAUUGAGUUGUAUUUCUCCCUAGUUGACUCCAAUCUGUGACAGUUCCCUGGUCUUUCCUUGUCCUUCAUAACUUUGGCACUUUUCGAAGGAUACUGAUUGUUACCAGUGGAAGGUAUCCGAGUUACCAGCGGCAAAUCCAUACGGGUCUGCAGCAACCUCAAUUCUUGCCCCCUCAAAAGAAAUAAUUUGACUGAGGGGCAUAAAGCAGAAAAAGAGAUCAAGGCAACUUUCAGAGUAGGAGUGGGAGUUUAUUUAAAAAGACUUUAGAAAAGGAAAGAAAAGAAAGUACGCUUGGAAGAGACCCAAGUGGGCAUGUGAAGGUCAAUUGUAGUGUUUAACCUUGAUCCUAGGACUUUAUAGGCUGGCCUCUUUCCCAUGAUUCUUCCUUUAAAGGGGGCUGCCCUCAUGCACAGUGCCCUCCUUACCCUUGGGAGUUGAGCAUGUGCACUGUGUUUAGGAAGUUGUAUGCAUGCCCAUUGGAGGCUUUCUUCCCUUUUCUCAUGGCAUGACCCUGGAAGGCCAUACUCUGCCAUUUUAUCUCCUAAUGCACAUGUCUGGGAAGUUGUGUUUCCCUGGUACCUACAUUAAGUUCACACUUUAGUGCAACAGGUGCAGACAAUCAGGAAAUGGCCUCUCCCUGGCGCUGGCUGCCAAUUUAUCACUUUUAGAGAGGCAAUGUGAUAAUUGCCAAACCAUCACCUGACAUUUUUAGUGGGUGGGGGAAGAGCCCUCUCCUGCCCUGCUUAUGCCUGUCUACCUAUAAAUACACUGAUGAGUAAUUUGGUAGAAUGUCCUUCAUUUUAGGUUUGUCUAACGUUUUGUCAUGAUUAGAGUGAGGUUAUGCCAUUUUGGCAAGAAUACCACAGAAAUGAUACUAUAUCCCUUUUCAGCACAUCAUGCCAAGGGAUUCAUGAUGUUGAUAUGCCUUAUUAAUGGUGAUAUUUACUUUGAGCACUCCAUUAGGUUAGUGUCUGCUGGUUUCUCCAUUAUAAAACCACCUUUGCAAAAAUUAUAACAGUGAGAAAAUUAUGACAGUGAAAGAGAUCUGAUCUAACCAACCCCCAUCUUGCUUUUAACCUCCAAAAUGCCUUACUCAUUUCUGGGCUUAGGCCAAGUUAACUUUGGGAGAAGUUUAGUUUAUAGUUUAACAGAUUAUAUCCCUUCCUCAAAACUAAACCACCUUUGUGUAAAGCUGAUGAAAGACCACCAGAUUAGGAGGAUGAAAGGAACCUGAAUUCUGUUAACAUGUAGAUAUAAAUGAUUACCAGCCAUUAUUCCAGAGGUCACAAGAUUUGCAACUUCCCAAUUACUCCUGCAGAUAACAUCACUAUUGUAGAACCUAAGAUUGGCCUUUUGAGAUGACUUUUCAGAUUUUUGUGUUUCUGAAAAUGGAUGGCUCCACCCAGACCCACCAACUGGUCCUGGCUCCACCCAGAAGUGGACUUAGCUUCUCAUGAGGACCAUUUUCCACACCCCUAUGAUUGCACCCCCAACCAAUCAGCAGCACCCAUUCCCUAGCCACCCCCCUCUCCUAAACUAUCUUUGAAAAACCAUAGUCUCCAAAUUUUCAGGGUGGCUGAUUUGCAUAAUAAUAAAACUCUAGUCUCCUGUUUAUCCAGUUCUAUAUGUGUAAAACUUUCUUUAUUGAAAUUCCCCUGUCUUGAUAAAUUGGCUCUCUCUGGAGAGCAGGCAGGAAGAACCCAUUGGGUGGUUACAACUAUACAGUUACUGUAUUUCUCUUUGUAGCUGAUAAGUGUUUUGAGGGAGAUACUUCGAGUUUAUUCAAAUCCUGUUUAUUGUUCUUGAUUUUUUUUUUCCAUAAAGGAUCAGAUACCUGUGUGUUUUCUUAUAUCUGAUUUCUUACACAAAGAAUCACAUAACCCAAAAUCACAUCUUUUGGGUUUUGGGUUUUGUUGUUGUUUUUUUUCCGUUACUUAAUAUGUCAUGGAAAGCACCCCAUAUCCACUCUAGAGACUUUCCCCAUUGUUUUAUACAUUUGCAUAGUACUCCAUGUUAUUGUACCAGCUUAUUCAAGCACUCUUCCAUGAUGGGCAUUUAAGUUGUUUCCAGUGUUUUGCAAUUAUAAACAAUACAUAAUGAGUAAGUUUAUGCGUAUGCAUUUUUGUAUUGUCAGAGAUACAUACCCUAGAAGUGGGAUUGCUAGGUGAAAAGGGAAAUGCAUGUGUACUUCGGUUAGAUAUUGCCUAAUAUCCCUCCAAAAGGAUUGUACCAAUUUGCAUUUCUAACAGGGAAAGUGCCCAUUUCCCCAUAGCUUCACCAACAAGCCUUAACAACAGAAUGUAUUCUCAUAUUUGUUUUAUUUUUGCCAAUUCAAUAAAUGAGAAAGGGAUUUCCUUAAUUAUCAGUGAGUUUAACCAUUUUCUGCAUGUUUAAAAGCCAUUUUGAAUCUUUGUCUUUUUUUUUAAAAUGAAAUUAUCUGUUUAUGCCUUUUCCUCAUUUUUACCUCAGGAUUUUGUCCUUCAAUUUUAAAGAUUUUUUUAUGUGUAAGGAAUAUUAGCCUUUUUUCUCUAGUUUAUGUUACAAAUAUUUUCUCCCAAUAUGUUAGUUGUUCUUUGAUUUUGUUUAUGGUGGUUUUUGUCACACAAAAAAUGCAGUCAAAUUUAUUAAUCUUUUAAAAAAUUGCCCCUGGAUUUUAAAUCAUAGUUAGAAAGCCUUUCCUUACCAAGUCUAAAUAAUAAUAUAGCCAUUUAUUUUCUAUACUAUGUGGUUUUAGUUUUUAUAUUUACAUCGCUAAUCCACUUGGAGUUUAUUCUGCUGCUAUAUGGUAUGUUUUACCCUAGUGGUUUGAGAUGCCACUUUUGUCAUAUACUAAAUUUCCAUAUGUAUUUUGGUCUAAUUCUGGACUAUUCUCUUCCACUGGCUUGUCUAUUUCUCUGUUUAUGCUCCAGUACCACACUGUUUUAAUUAUCCAGGCUUUAGCAAAUGUUUUAAUUUCUGAUAAGCCUAAUCACCACAGCUUUUCUUUUUCAGUGUUUUUCUACCUCGUUCUUACAUGUCAUUUGUUUUCAUAUGAACUUUAGUAUCAAAAUCUCUAACUCCAGAAAAUAGUCUAUUCAUAUUUUGAUGGAAUUGUAUUACAUUUAUAAAUUAACUUGGGGGAAGUGGUAUUUUCAUAAUGUUAUAAUUCUAUCCAAGAACAGGGGGAUGUCUUUCCUUUUAUUCAAGUUUUUAUUACUGUCUGUUAGGAGUGUUUUGAUAUUUUCCAUGUAUAGGUUUUCAUACCUCAAGUUAAAUUUAUUCAUAAGUACUUACUAUAUUUUGAUGCUAUUUAAAUGGUGUUUUUUUUACCAUUAUGUCCUGUUUAUUGUUUGCUUAUAUGAAGUUAUUGAUUUUUAUGUUGAUUUUACAUCCUUCUUCAGUAAAUUAUUUUAUUUUUUGAAUUGGCUUUAUUAUUGAUUCUCUGGGAUUUUCCACAUAUAUUAUAUCAUCUGCAAAUAUAGAAUUUUACCACUCAUUUAGUCACUCUUCUGCCUUUCAUUGAUUUCUCAUAUCUAAUUGCACUGGCUAAUAUCUCUAACAGUAUCAGAGAUAGUAGAAAUUUAUGUAUUGCUUCUGAUGUUGAUAGAAACAUCUCUAUUGUUUCUCCAUUAAAUAAGAUAAUGACUUCAGGACUAUGAAACCCCAAAAUUUGAGACAGGUAUCAGUUAAUUUAGAAAGUUUAUUUUGCCAAGAUUGAGGAUGUGCACCUGUGACACAGCCUCAGGAAGUCCUGAUGACAUGUGCCCAAGGUGGUCGGGGCCCAGCUUGGUUUUAUACAUUUUAAGGAGACAUGUGACAUCAAUCAAUAUAUGUAAGAAGUACAUUGGUUCUGUCCAGAAAGAAGGGGACAACUCAAAGCAGGGAAUAGGCUUCCAGGUCACAGGUAGAUGUGAGACAAAUGAUUGAAUUCUUUUUAGUUUCUGAUAAGCCUUUCCAAAGGAGGCAAUCAGAAUAUGCAUCUAUCUCAGUGAGUAGAGGGAUAACUUUAAAUAAAGAAUGGGAGGCACAUUUGCCCUGAGCAGUUCCCAGGUUGAAUUUUCCCUUUAGCUUAGUGAUUCUGGGGGUCCAAGAUAUUUUCCUUUUAUAGGACCAAUUAUCAUGUUGAGCAAGUAUCCAUCAUUUCCUACAUAUAGGAGUCGUUUUAUGAUAAGUAUGUGUUAAAUUUUGUCAAAUGCUUUCUCAGCAUUUUCUUGGUCUAUGGAGAUGAUUAUAUGUAUUUUUUCCUUUAGACAUUAUUAUGUGUAGUGGGAUGAAUAAUGGCUACCCAUAGACAUUGGGUUCUAAUCCUGGGAACUUGUAAAUGUUACCUUAUAUGAUAAAAUUUUGGCAGA
rnacentral:lncRNA from 10 species